rnacentral:rRNA from 1 species
GACGAACGCUGGCGGCGCGCCUAACACAUGCAAGUCGAACGAGCGAGCGAGAGCUUGCUUUCUCGAGCGAGUGGCGAACGGGUGAGUAACGCGUGAGGAACCUGCCUCAAAGAGGGGGACAACAGUUGGAAACGACUGCUAAUACCGCAUAAGCCCACGACCCGGCAUCGGGUAGAGGGAAAAGGAGAAAUCCGCUUUGAGAUGGCCUCGCGUCCGAUUAGCUAGUUGGUGAGGUAACGGCCCACCAAGGCGACGAUCGGUAGCCGGACUGGGAGGUUGAGCGGCCACAUUGGGACUGAGACACGGCCCAGACUCCUACGGGAGGCAGCAGUGGGGAAUAGUGCACAAUGGGGGAAACCCUGAUGCAGCGACGCCGCGUGGAGGAAGAAGGUCGUCGGAUUGUAAACUCCUGUUGUUGAGGAAGAUAAUGACGGUACUCAACAAGGAAGUGACGGCUAACUACGUG